rnacentral:rRNA from 1 species
UUUUAUGGAGAGUUUGAUCCUGGCUCAGGAUGAACGCUGGCGGCGUGCCUAAUACAUGCAAGUCGAGCGAACAGACGAGGAGCUUGCUCCUCUGACGUUAGCGGCGGACGGGUGAGUAACACGUGGAUAACCUACCUAUAAGACUGGGAUAACUUCGGGAAACCGGAGCUAAUACCGGAUAAUAUAUUGAACCGCAUGGUUCAAUAGUGAAAGACGGUUUUGCUGUCACUUAUAGAUGGAUCCGCGCCGCAUUAGCUAGUUGGUAAGGUAACGGCUUACCAAGGCAACGAUGCGUAGCCGACCUGAGAGGGUGAUCGGCCACACUGGAACUGAGACACGGUCCAGACUCCUACG